rnacentral:rRNA from 1 species
AUUGAACGCUGGCGGCAUGCCUUACACAUGCAAGUCGAACGGCAGCACGGGGCAACCUGGUGGCGAGUGGCGAACGGGUGAGUAAUGCAUCGGAACGUGCCAUUGAGUGGGGGAUAACGUAGCGAAAGUUGCGCUAAUACCGCAUAUUCUGUGAGCAGGAAAGCAGGGGACCGCAAGGCCUUGCGCUCUUUGAGCGGCCGAUGUCAGAUUAGCUAGUUGGUGAGGUAACGGCUUACCAAGGCGACGAUCUGUAGCGGGUCUGAGAGGAUGAUCCGCCACACUGGAACUGAGACACGGUCCAGACUCCUACGGGAGGCAGCAGUGGGGAAUUUGGACAAUGGGCGCAAGCCUGAUCCAGCCAUGCCGCGUGAGUGAAGAAGGCCUGGUGUAAGGACUCGUUCGGUCCGGGAACGGUAAAACGUACGGUACCGAACGUUAGGGGUUUAAACGUUAACCCCGUUA